UACAGAGGUCUCAAGCGUUGUUCGGAUUCAUUGGGCGUAAAGGGUGCGUAGGUGGCGCUGUAAGUCAGAUGUGAAAUUUCGGAGCUUAACUCCGAAACUGCAUUUGAUACUGCCGUGCUUGAGGACUGGAGAGGAGACUGGAAUUUACGGUGUAGCGGUGAAAUGCGUAGAUAUCGGGAGGAACACCUGUGGCGAAAGCGGCGCACUGGACCACAUCUGACGCUGAGGCGCGAAAGCUAGGGGAGCAAACAGG
rnacentral:rRNA from 1 species